UGCAGUCAAGUCAAAUUCAGUUCCCAUCCUGUCUUGGUGGGAGCUGGCCAAGAUGGACACCCAUGGGUCCUGUGUCCCCUGCCCUGGGACCUGGGGAUAAGUUUGGCUGCAGACAUUG
rnacentral:snoRNA from 1 species